UAAUCUCACUCCGACGACUUUGUUGUUGUCUGGAGGUGGACUUGGACUUUUGCCGUGUUACAGCGGCUGGUCUGAAAUGCAUGAGUGCACCCUGCUGUUGCAGCGUCUUCAGUGUGAUAAGUAUCUUCACUGAGUAAGUUCCCUCUGGGACACGCCUUGCCGGUGGGCUCUGCGCUUCCAACCGUCUAACGACAAUCUUUGACA
rnacentral:misc_RNA from 3 species